rnacentral:rRNA from 1 species
UACGAAGGGGGCUAGCGUUGCUCGGAAUGACUGGGCGUAAAGGGCGCGUAGGCGGCACACAUAGUCAGGCGUGAAAUUCCUGGGCUUAACCUGGGGGCUGCGUUUGAUACAUGUGAGCUAGAGGAUGGAAGAGGCUCGUGGAAUUCCCAGUGUAGAGGUGAAAUUCGUAGAUAUUGGGAAGAACACCGGUGGCGAAGGCGGCGAGCUGGUCCGAUACUGACGCUGAGGCGCGAAAGCGUGGGGAGCGAACAGG